rnacentral:rRNA from 1 species
GUCGAGAAUCUUUCACAAUGGGGGCAACCCUGAUGGAGCGACGCCGCGUGGAGGAUAAGGUCUUCGGAUUGUAAACUCCUGUCAUGCGUGAACAAGGUUGCUUGGUUAAUACCUGGGCAAAUUGAUGGUAACGCAAGAGGAAGAGACGGCUAACUCUGUGCCAGCAGCCGCGGUAAUACAGAGGUCUCAAGCGUUGUUCGGAAUCACGGGGCGUAAAGGGUGCGUAGGUGGCGUGGUAAGUCAGAUGUGAAAGCCCGGGGCUCAACCUCGGAACUGCAUCCGAGACUGCCAUGCUAGAGUACUGGAGAGGUGACUAGAAUUCUCGGUGUAGCAGUGAAAUGCGUAGAUAUCGAGAGGAAUACCAAAGGCGUAGGCAGGUCACUGGACAGUUACUGACACUGAGGCACGAAGGCCAGGGGAGCGAACGGGAUUAGAUACCCUAGUAGUCC